UCAUCAUUUCCGAUAUGCAUAAAAAUUUUCAUCGACAACUGCAUUUUAGUACAUCAAAAUAUGCUUAAAAACUAACUAAUUGGAGAACAAUGUCAAAGUUUAACGAAAAAAUUUAAGAAAUCUUUGACUCAAAUACUUUAUUGAUUGCAAAAUAAACAAGUCACACAUAUUUCUUGUAUAAAUUUACAUAACAUAUACAUACGUAAUCGGACAUUAUGUGUUUUCUUUGGCUUGCCAAAUAUGUUUCUCGGCGACACCGUGAACUUUUAGAACGCAUUAGCGACCGGCAGGAGCAGCGUAUCAGCAACGUCAAAUGAUACCAAAGACUGAGGCAGAUUUUUUUCCAAACACUUCGUGAGCUCCGUCGUUCGUUUCGUAGUAAAUCCCAGCCGUUGAAUCGCAUCGAGUGGAAGCGCAUUGAGUACGAGACGAGUCUGUGCUAAAAGUCUUUUGCAACAUCACCAGCUGCUGCUCUGGCUCGCUGGCUGUAUUUUUUUCGUAGCCAACGCCAGCUUAAGCUCCAUCAACGGUAUUUAUAGCAAUGGAUUUUAUUACUUCAAAUGCUGUUCAAACGAGUAUUUGAUACUUCGACUGUGAUUGUUGUAAACACCACAACAUUGUUGCUUUUGUAAAUUUAUUAUAUCGCUCAUUCGUCAAAGCUGCUCGUUUUUCGAAGAAUCGUUUUAGAGCUUCAGUCAAGUGCCGAUUGCAGCAGAAGUUAAGAAGAAACUUCGCCUGCUUUUCAAAGAGUAUGUGAGAGCAUUGGAGCUGCAGAGAGUCGGUUACUGUUGGAAUUUUACUACGCGUGCAUAAAAGUUGAGAGUUAAAACUCGUGCUGCUUAAAGACGAGAUUUUGUCGCAGCAUCCUAUAUUAUUGCUCUCUCCUCCUGUUGCUGGCACUCAGCGCUCAUAUUAUUCACGGCACUCUCACCGCAGCUAACACUCCUUUUCAGCCAUGGCCAAAGUGUCAAAUACAAUUCAAAUAAUACGCGCAUUAAAAUGUCACAUACCUCGCCUCUUUGGUGUAAUCAUAUAAGCCAGUUGUCUGGGUUAUCCGCGCAAAAUGUUAUUGUCCAACUUAUUUACAAGUUAAUGUGUGUGAAAUAAUUUUAAAAUGCCACACCAAAGUAUUGCAACAAUACAUUUCCGGAUAAGUAUGAUUUGUUGAAGUAAAUCUAGGAAUAUUUAUUUAUAUACAAGUAUAUAUGUACAUAUACAUAUGUCUUUACAGAUGCGAUAAAAACAAGAUAAUUAUCUAUAUUUACAAGUGAAUAAAGAAGUUAUUAUAUAAUUAAGGGCAUUGCAAGUGUAUUUAGUCAAUACAUAUGUAUGCAAUUUUAGAAAAUAUAUACUUAAUACUCC